GCUGGGCAUGGUGGCGCGUGCCUGUAAUCCCAGCUACUCGGGAGGCUGAGGCGGGGGAAUUGCUUGAACCCAGGAGGCGGAGGUUGCGGUGAGCCGAGAUUGCGCCAUUGCACUCCAGCCUGGGUAACAAGAGCGAAACUCCGUCUCAA
rnacentral:sRNA from 1 species